GAUGAAGAACGUAGCGAAAUGCGAUAAGUAGUGUGAAUUGCAGAAUUCAGUGAAUCAUCGAAUCUUUGAACGCACAUUGCGCCCUUUGGUAUUCCUUAGGGCAUGCCUGUUCGAGCGUCAUUUAAACCUUCAAGCUAAGCUUGGUGUUGGGUGACUGUCCGCUUCACGGCGGACUCGCCUCAAAAUUAUUGGCGGCCGGUACAUUGGCUUCGAGCGCAGCAGAAACGCGAACUCGGGCCCGUCGUAUUGGCUCCCAGAAGCUAUCUUCACAAUUUUGACCUCGGAUCAGGUAGGGAUACCCGCUGAACUUAAGAAUAUCAAUAAGCGGAGGA
rnacentral:misc_RNA from 1 species